GAAGAUUUAAUGAAAAGGAGUUUUCCUUCAUGGGUAAAGAUAACAUUAUUGAAAGUUUUGAAACAAGCAAAAUCUUAUAAAAUAAUUCUUCAAAAUCUAUGGGGCACUGUAGCCAUCUAGACAGAGGGAUGUUGCCAACUUUGAGGUAAAAUACCCUACAAAGUAAACACAUUUUUUCUGAGCUUGACCACUUUGUAUUUCAACAGGAUGCCUACAGAUACCAAAAUGAUGCAAAAAAAAUGAGAAAAUCCUUUGCUACUGCACCUUUACUAUCUCUCUAUUUUAGAGCCAAACUUUUCCCUUAGUCAUUUUAAAAUUUUCUUACGUUUUCCCUGGCUAUUUUGGAUCAUCUAAAUCCUCCCAAAUUUCCCAGUUUUAUAGAUUCCUGUUUAAGAAUUAUAUUGAAAAAAAACCUCAUCCUCCAAUUAUCUAUAAUCUAAUUUAUUUAGAUCGAUUUCCAGUUUAUAAAUAUUCGUCAAUAUCUUUUCUGAUGUAUGUUGAAACUUUUGCAAAUUCUUAAAAGUAUUUUGUAUAUUCUAAUUUUCAUCCAAAGGAUUUGUUUACUUUUAAUUGUCCCAGUCUAAGAAAAGUUCUUUACCUUAUUUCUCCCUCCAGUUUUGGUUCCUAGAAUAUCUUUAAAUAAUUCAAAGCAUCACGUUUUUCCUAGACCAUAGGUUAUACAGGAUGACUUAUUAGAACCUGUCGAUAUUUUAAAAGUGCCUUAUAAAAUGCUACAUGUAAAAUGUCUGAAUAAUCCUGUAAAGUAAUAUUCGACAGCAGUCAGAUGACAGAUUGAGAAAACCGUAGUCACAGUACAGUAUCGAGCUGAAGGUUUCCAAAGAAGUUUUACUACUUAAAAUAAUCAUGUUUGGGACCAAGAAAAUCCACACGCUUUCCGACCACUUCAAGCGCAACGCCGGUUAUCGAUAAGUCUUUGGACAGAGCAGUACAGUAUCGGAGUGAGACCAUAUCGUUUACCGGCAGAGCUAGCAGGCAAUAUACACUUUGAGCACAAUGCCGGUUUUCGAUAAGUCUGAGCAGAGCAGUGCAGUAUUGGAGUAAGACCAUAUAGUUUACCAACAGGGCUAAAAGGGGGCUUUGAAGGAACAUCUCCACAUUUUAGCUAUCAAGUUUGUGCCUUUCAGAACGUUGGAUGUACUUGAAGUUUGACGGGCCUUGGUGGUUACAUUUCUUGGUCCCCAUGGUGUCGACACUUUAUAUGGUUGGCUUUUUUUGUGGAGUAUUAUUGAUGAGCUUGGUAUACUCUCAACUAAUUCAUAAAUCUAGGAAUUUGAAUUCUGCAUUCUCUGCUAUGUAUAUUUUUCAUUUUUGUUAUAUUUUUUCAAGGAGCAGCUUCAGCACAAAGUCCAUUUUAGUUUUUAUCUUUAA